CCUUUUCUAGGGCCGCUCCAGCGGCAUAUGGAGGUUCCCAGGCUAGGAGUCAAAUAGGAGCUGUAGCCACCAGCCUACACCACGGCCACAGCAACGUAGAAUCCGAGCCACGUCUGCGACCCACACCACAGCUCACGGCAACGCCAGAUCCUUAACCACUGAGCAAGGCCAGGGAUCGAACCUGCAACCUCACGGGUCCUAGUCGGAUUCGUUACCCACUGUGCCACGACGGGAACUCCACUCCUGGAUAUUUUUUAAUACUGUUGUGAAUGAAGUUUUUUAAAUUUCAUUUUUGAAUCAUUUAUUGUUAGUAUAUUAAAACACAAUUGAUUUGUCUAUAUCAAUCAUGUAUCCUGUGAUAUUGCUAAAUUCUCUUAGUCCUAUUAGCAUUUUUUAUUGAUUCCUUAGGAUUUUCCAUGUCCAUGGUCAUGUGAUCUGCGAACAAAUACAGUUUUAGUCCUUCGUUUACAACCUGUUCUCUUUUAUUUACCUUACUUUAUCAUACUGAGUAGACUCUCCAGUGUGAUAGGAACUAGAAAUGAUGAAUGUAGAAUUGCCUUCUUCCUGAUCGUAGAUAGAAACAUGGAGUCUUUCAAGAUUGAGUAUUUCGAUGACUAAUUUUGUGUGUCAGCUGAGUUAGGCUAAGUUACAUCUUUGGUCAAACAUCAGUGUAGGUAUGACUGUGAAUGGUAUUUUCCAGAUGUGAUUAACAUUUAACUCAGUAGACCUUGAUAAAACACCUUCUGUACUGUGGGUGGGCCUAAUCCAAUCAGUCAAAGGCCUUGAUUAACAAAGACAAGUCCUCUGAGAAAGAAAGAAUUUGGCCUCCAGACUGCUGGUAGGCUCCAGCAGUCUGCUGGUCUGCCCUGUAAAUUUGGGACUUUCCAGAUCCCAUAGUCAGGUGAAGCAAUUGCUAUAAAUAAAUACAUGCAUACAUAAAUAAAUAAAUUCAUGGUAUAUGUAUAUGUACACACACACACACACACACACACACACACACACACACACACACACACCCUGCUCUACUAAUUCUAUGUCUCUAGAGAACCCUAAUACAAAUAUAUUGUUGCUGAAACUUGAAACUCAGCAUCCGUCCACCAUUGCCAAAAUAGAAAUGCAGAGACACAGUUUGGGGUGAAGGAGAAAAAGACAGCUUUGUGCUUUGCCAAGGAAAGGGGGCCACAGCAGGAGGUGGUUUUGUAGUUUGGGGAGUGGAAAAUAGGGCCACAGAUAAGGAUCAUAGCAGGUGUUUAGAGCCUCCCAGGACUGGUUCUGGCGGUCCUCUUUCUUCCUGGAAUAAAGAAUGCUUCAUCAUUUGUUGGGGGUUUUAGUUCUGCAGAAAGACUCAAAGAUAUUGUUAUGUCUAUUCCUUAAGGAGGAACCGGGACCCUACCCCAAGGCUGCACUAUUGUCUCUUGACUUCUCUUCCCUGGUCUUUUCAUUCCUUCGCUUCCUGGAUUACAGCUACCCUUUCAAGCUCAGGGAAGAUCCUGGAGGCUGAAAUUCAUUUCCUCAAAACAAGAAGUGGAGGACACAGAAAGGCUUGUGUGCCCAGUGCUAGGUUUGUCCCAGGAAAACAAGACUUAGCUCUAGGCUCUCGCCCGGCUUCUGGAGAGACAUGACGAAGACAUGACUAAAUCUUCCCUAAAAUCAUGUGACCCAAUCUUAAAGACUACCCCACUAUCCAGGAGAAUGUCUAAACGUCUGUUCAUAUCCUACUAACAAUUCCCCCAAACUGGUCUGUUCCUUUUCACCCUAUUUACAUAAGAAAUGGCCAAUCAGCUUCUGCACAGAAACCCCCUUUCCUGGCACCCACAUAUAACCUCCCUCCUUGACCAGCUGACUGCUGACAUCCCCUUGUGAGUCAGCCCGGCAGUACACCCUAGUAAUAAAGUUUUUUAUGCCUGAACACAGGUCUUGUCCUUUUGGCCAAACUUACACCCAGGAGCCUCCCAGGGCUCCGCUUGGUUAUAAUAUUAGCUGUGGUUUUUUUUAUAGGUGUCCUUAAUUAGAGACAAUUCGUGGUGUUUUUUUGUUUGUUUUUGUUUUUAAUCAUGAAUGGAUUUGUAUUUUGACAAAUGCUUUCUCCGGAUCUAUUAAAAUGGAGUAUUUGUUCUUUAGCUUGUUAAUAUAAUAAAUGACAUUAAUUGAUUUUCAAAUGCUGAACCAGGCUUGUGUUCUCAGGAAAAACUCAGUUGGUCGUGACUUACAAUCUUUUAAAAAGAUGGUUGGAAUUCAUUUAUAACAAUUUUGUUCAAGGAUUUUUAUAUUUAUGGUCAUGAGGAAUAUUUUUCUGUAAUACCUGGGAACUGAAGUUUGGCAGCUGUAGAUGGGGCUUUGUACUCUCUGUAGUGAAUCUGACUUGCUAGGCUGUGAGCAGGAGAGUGGGGUAAGUAGUACAAAACACAUGGUGACCUAUGAACUUCUUGGAUGGGAACAGUGAAGACAGCCUGAACCACCCAACAGAGACAUUCAGCCAUAUACGUAAGCACUCUCAUGCAUAUUUGUGAAAUGUAUUACACAUGAUAUGUAGAUGUGGAUAUGGGAAAAAACUAGAAAAGAAUACCUGUCUCCUUUCACUACUCUAUAUUCAUUAGAAAAAAAAUAUUGGAUAAACUAUUAACAAGUGCCUCAGGAUUACCCUGUCAGUAUUGCAAUGUGUGGGGAAAGGACUUUGGGUAGGAUGCAGGACCUAGGUCCCUGCAAUGGCACUGGAUUGAAUAUAUAGGGCCUACCCCUUCAAAAUGGAGCUUAAUCUAUGAUUAUUAUAUUUUUCUGUGAUCACAGUCUUACUUCAGAGGUAAGAAGGGUAAGCAAAGCUCUUUGCCAUUGCAUUGAAAACCAGAUCAUAAUAAUAACUCUGCUAUUGAACCAGCAAGCAAUUAUAAGGAUUCUUUUUUACAGCAUCAUUUCAAAUGUGGAAUAUUGGAAAGAAUCUAAGUGUCCAACUGUUGGGAACUUGGUAAGCAAACAAUGGCAAAUUCAUACGAUAGACUGUUUUUCAGCUAUAAAAAUGAUGCUGUGGAUGGGGAGGCAAUAACUUGGAAAGAUAUUAAAAUAUAUUAUUAAGUGAAGAGAGCAAGUUAUACAACAUCUAUGUUUGAUUGGAUUUUUUCUAGGAAAUACUUACCUAGUCACUUAGCUGCCAUCAGUUACCACCUACUGAAGGAUAUAGUCCUUGAGUGUAUAAACUGGUUAUCUCAGUAUAGAAAGAUUAUGACUCCUUUGUGUUUUAUCCUCCUUUGCUUACCUUUAUUUCAAUGGUAUUUUUUUUCUUUGCUGACUAUCACUUCUUAAAAUAAGAGAAAUAAAUGGAAUAUACUGCAAUGAGACAGAGAGUAAGAGUGGGACAGGUAGAGUGCCAGCAUGCUAGAGAGAGUGUGUCUGGGAGAGAAGAAAGAGUGCAUUAACUCAGAGAUGAACUGGUGUCUCCAUACCACUGCUGAAUCUAACUCUGAACUCGACAUUUGACUUCAAUCCACUUCCUACACUAAAUAAAUUCAAACCAUGUUCCUGAUGAAUGACUAGUCCUUUAGUUUAUGAGGUGUCUCCCUACAGCUCAUACCUGUAACGUGACAUCAACUCAUGCCUGUGUCUGAGCUCCACUUGGACCCCACCUCCCUCCAUCCAUGCAGUCAUGAUAUAAGAAGGUUUUGUUUUAAGUCAGAGGUUGGACCAUAGAUAAUGUACCAGGCUGCAUCAAUUUUAUGAUAGGUUAGGACUGUUCACAAUACACAUAACUACAUCAUGCAGCAAACUUCCAGUCUAUAAUGGCAGUACAAGCUAAUUGCCAGCUGUCAUUCAUUAAUGCUCUUAACUUUUCUUUUUUUGACACUCAGGUCAAUUUUCUCAAUUAUAUUACCUGCUCUGACAUAUAUUAUAUAAACAUGAAUAUAAAUUUUUUUGUAUAUUGAAACAUUUAAGUAAAAUUCAGUAACUGAGAUUUUAAUAUUUUGGGAAUUGACUUUUAAAUUUAUAAUUUUACUUCUUAAUGUUAAAUGUCAUACAUUCAAAAUUAAAGCUGGUUUUCCAAAUUCUUUUCAUUUAUUGAAGCGUUUCAUUUGUUCAUUCUAUGUCAGGAUAAUGAAAAACAAAAUUUAACUCACCCGGUUCAGCUAAAGAGUUUAAUGAAGGGAUGGCGCUAUGGGCUGAAUGGUUGGGCCACUCGAAAAUUCACGUGUUGAAACGCUACUCCUCAAGGUUACAGCAAAAACAGAACAAAACAAACAAGUCAUCUAGGAA
rnacentral:lncRNA from 1 species